UUAAAACUUCAGGGCAGGGCGAAAUUCCCGACCGGUGGUAAAGUCCACGAGUUGUUUUUAUUUUAAUUAAAAUGAAAACGACAUGAACUGGUGUGAUUCCAGUACCGAUAGUUAUAGUCUAGAUGGUAGAAGUGAAAU
rfam:Leptotrichia buccalis DSM 1135, complete genome.